AGAGUUUGAUCCUGGCUCAGGAUGAACGCUGGCGGCGUGCCUAAUACAUGCAAGUAGAACGCUGAAGGAGGUGCUUGCUCUCUCCGGAUGAGUUGCGAACGGGUGAGUAACGCGUAGGUAACCUGCCUGGUAGCGGAGGAUAACUAUUGGAAACGAUAGCUAAUACCGCAUAACAGUAGAUGUUGCAUGACAUUUGCUUGAAAGGGGCAAUUGCUCCACUACCAGAUGGACCUGCGUUGUAUUAGCUAGUAGGUGAGGUAACGGCUCACCAAGGCGACGAUACAUAGCCGACCUGAGAGGGUGAUCGGCCACACUGGGACUGAGACACGGCCCAGACUCCUACGGGAGGCAGCAGUAGGGAAUCUUCGGCAAUGGGGGCAACCCUGACCGAGCAACGCCGCGUGAGUGAAGAAGGUUUUCGGAUCGUAAAGCUCUGUUGUAAGAGAAGAACGAGUGUGAGAGUGGAAAGUUCACACUGUGACGGUAACUUACCAGAAAGGGACGGCUAACUACGUGCCAGCAGCCGCGGUAAU
rnacentral:rRNA from 1 species